rnacentral:rRNA from 1 species
UACGGGGGGAGCAAGCGUUGUUCGGAUUUACUGGGCGUAAAUGGCGCGUAGGCGGCCACCGCAAGUCGGUUGUGAAAUCUCUGGGCUUAACCCAGAAAGGUCAACCGAUACUGCGGGGCUAGAGUGCAGAAGGGGCAACUGGAAUUCUCGGUGUAGCGGUGAAAUGCGUAGAUAUCGAGAGGAACACCUGCGGCGAAGGCGGGUUGCUGGGCUGACACUGACGCUGAUGCGCGAAAGCUAGGGGAGCGAACGGG